GUCCUGGUAGCUCAGCUGGAUAGAGCAUGCGCCUUCUAAGCGCACGGUCAGGGGUUCGAAUCCCUUCCAGGACGCCA
rnacentral:tRNA from 3 species